rnacentral:rRNA from 1 species
UGCCACAGACAUAUCACCCUGCAGCCCAAGACCGGUUACUCACUGAAGCUAAGCAGGGCUGAGCCUGGUUAGUACCUGGAUGGGAGACCACUAGGGAACACUAGGUUGCUGUUGGAA